UACGAAAGGUGCAAGCGUUACUCGGAAUCACUGGGCGUAAAGCGCGCGUAGGCGGACUCGUAGGUCAAUUGUGAAAUCCCUGGGCUCAACCCAGGAACUGCAGUUGAAACCGCUUGUCUUGAAUACUUGAGAGGGUGGGGGAAUACCUGGUGGAGAAGUGAAAUUCGUAGAGAUCAGGUGGAACACCGGAGGCGAAGGCGCCUGCCUGGCAAUGUAUUGACGCUGAGGCGCGAAAGUGCGGGGAGCGAACAGG
rnacentral:rRNA from 1 species